GCAGGAGGACGGCCUCCCCCAUAGUGGGAACCGAUUCGGGACGGCCCGG
rnacentral:ncRNA from 1 species